UAACCUGCCUCUUAGCGGGGGAUAACUAUUGGAAACGAUAGCUAAUACCGCAUAAAAGUCGAUAUCGCAUGAUAUUGAUUUGAAAGGUGCAAAUGCAUCACUAAGAGAUGGACCUGCGUUGUAUUAGCUAGUUGGUGAGGUAACGGCUCACCAAGGCGACGAUACAUAGCCGACCUGAGAGGGUGAUCGGCCACACUGGGACUGAGACACGGCCCAG
rnacentral:rRNA from 1 species